rnacentral:rRNA from 1 species
CCCGUUCCCAUUCCGAACACGGAAGUUAAGCUCUGCAGUGGCGACAAUACUUGUCUGGAGACGGACCGGAAAGAUAGCUCAUUGCUGACA